rnacentral:rRNA from 1 species
AACACAUGCAAGUCGAACGGAAAGGCCCUGCUUGCAGGGUACUCGAGUGGCGAACGGGUGAGUAACACGUGGGUGAUCUGCCCUGCACUUCGGGAUAAGCCUGGGAAACUGGGUCUAAUACCGGAUAGGAGCCAUUUUUAGUGUGAUGGUUGGAAAGUUUUUUCGGUGUAGGAUGAGCUCGCGGCCUAUCAGCUUGUUGGUGGGGUAAUGGCCUACCAAGGCGGCGACGGGUAGCCGGCCUGAGAGGGUGGACGGCCACAUUGGGACUGAGAUACGGCCCAGACUCCUACGGGAGGCAGCAGUGGGGAAUAUUGCACAAUGGGCGCAAGCCUGAUGCAGCGACGCCGCGUGGGGGAUGACGGCCUUCGGGUUGUAAACUCCUUUCGCUAGGGACGAAGCUUUUUGUGACGGUACCUAGAUAAGAAGCACCGGCUAACUACGUGCCAGCAGCCGCGGUAAUACGUAGGGUGCGAGCGUUGUCCGGAACUACUGGGCGUAAAGGGCUCGUAGGUGGUUUGUCGCGUCGUCUGUGAAAUUCCGGGGCUUAACUCCGGGCGUGCAGGCGAUACGGGCAUAACUUGAGUACUGUAGGGGUAACUGGAAUUCCUGGUGUAGCGGUGAAAUGCGCAGAUAUCAGGAGGAAC